UCCUUGCUAGCUCAAUUGGCAGAGCGAGCGGCUGUUAACCGCUAGGUUCUAGGUUCAAGUCCUAGGCAAGGAGCCU
rnacentral:tRNA from 1 species